ACUGGUGCCAUUUUACAACUCCAACUUUCCCUGGGUUUUAAGCUAAAUUAUGCCACUGUUCAUCAGCGAUGCUGUUUCUCCACACAUCAAAACUUCUUAGAUCACCGAAUCCUCAUAUGCCAAGAAGUUUUGCACGGCCAUGUUUGAUGUUGUAAUUAGGAAAACAGUGAAGGUUUCCAAAGUAGGAUGCCGCCUAUGGUCAGACACCACAACAUGUCUUGGGUGAUUUCUACAGUCCUAGAGGAGCCUUCACCUCUCCUAAGACUCUCAGCAAGAAAAGAAGCUUCUUUAUUAACUCAGAGAAAAUAUGACAUAUCCCCAAGUGUUCCAGUGACUUCAUAGAAGAGUGAAUUUCCUGACUUGAACAAGCAUCCCUCAGCUGUGGUUGGAAAAAAAAAAAA